GCGGGUUUAUCCCCGCAGCAGAGCUCCACGGCCAGCAAUCAGAUCCACUCUGAGCGGUGUUGUGGUGAAAGACGCAGCCCCGCUGUUACAGCGCUCGCCACGGGAGCGCGCAUUUCAAACAAAAACACACAAUCGAAAAAGGAGUUCCUGGUACACAAGGUACCCAGGUCCAGUGGCUGCCGAACUAGCCCAAAUCAUCAGCCCUCCACCACCAUGCUUUUAUGGUGAGCUACAUUAUAGCCACAGCUGCCCUGGGGCAGCCUCAGAGAAGCAAGGCUUCCAUACAAUCGGCACCACCGGGUCCUCUGACCACCAUCAGCAGGCAAGGAGGGUGAGGUGACUUGCCCCAUGACACAACAACUGAGACAAGAGUGGUUGUUCAAACCGACAACCCGCUGGUUACAGGGUGAACCCCUA